rnacentral:rRNA from 1 species
UAAGCGGAGGAAAAGAAACUAACAAGGAUUCCCCUAGUAACGGCGAGUGAAGCGGGAAGAGCUCAAAUUUGAAAUCUGGUAGCCUUCGGCUGCCCGAGUUGUAAUCUAGAGAAGUGUUUUCCGUGCCGGCCCAUGUACAAGUCCCUUGGAACAGGGCGUCAUAGAGGGUGAGAAUCCCGUCCUUGACAUGGACCCCCGGUGCUUUGUGAUACACUUUCAACGAGUCGAGUUGUUUGGGAAUGCAGCUCAAAAUGGGUGGUGAAUUCCAUCUAAAGCUAAAUAUUGGCGAGAGACCGAUAGCGAACAAGUACCGUGAGGGAAAGAUGAAAAGCACUUUGGAAAGAGAGUUAAACAGUACGUGAAAUUGUUGAAAGGGAAACGAUUGAAGUCAGUCAUGCUCUUUGGAUUCAGCCGUUCUGCGGUGUAUUUCCAUUGAGUGGGGUCAACAUCAGUUUUGAUCGCUGGAUAAAGGCACUAGGAAGGUAGCACUCUCGGGUGAACUUAUAGCCUAGCGUCAUAUACAGUGAUUGGGACUGAGGAACGCAGCAUGCCUUUAUGGCCGGGAUUCGUCCACGUACAUGCUUAGGAUGUUGACAUAAUGGCGUUAAACGACCCGUCCUUGAAA